GAAUAGUAGCAGCUCAAGUGGUGACCAGUUUUAUUGGGCCUAAAGCGUCCGUAGCCGGUCUAGUAAACUCUUGGGGAAAUCGGUACGCUCAACGUAUCGAAGACCGAGAGCACUGCUGGACUUGGGACCGGGAGAGGUCAGAGGUACUCCCAGGGGAGCGGUUAAAUGUGUUUAUCCUGGGAUGACCACCAAUGGCGAAGGCAUCUGACUUGAACGGCUCCGACGGUAAGGGACGAAGCCCUGGGUAGCAAACGGGAUUAGAUACCCCGGUAGUCCAGGGUGUAAACGCUGCAGGCUAGGUGUUGGAUGUCCUUUGAGGGUAUCCAGUGCUGUAGAGAAGUCAAUAAGCCUGCCGCCUGGGGAGUACAAUCGCAAGAUCG
rnacentral:rRNA from 1 species